AGGUGACAGUCAGCUGCUUCCUGGGGUAACUUAGCAAAGCUCUCCAAAGACCUUGGAACCCGCUUCCCUUUGCUUUUCCCCAAAGGGUGUCUCAUUCAAGCCACAUCGUUUGCAAUAUUUAUGACCCUGCUCCCUGGCCAUCGUUAAGAGCAAGUGGGGCUGGUGGCGCUGAGCCUGCUGGGAUAGAAAAAGGAGCCAUUCUUCAAAGACCUGUAGAAGGGGAACAGAACCUACCCCUGAAGGCAGUAGGAGGCAGAAAUAAAUCAACAUUUGCGGUAUACAAAGCCGGACUGGAGUUGUCUCUCAGAAAUAACUGUCGCUCUUGUCGUUGGAGACCCUCCUCGACCAACCAAGACAAAUGGGCUGACUGAAAUCUCAACUGAAAGAUGGACAAGAGUGGGGUUUACGACCAGUAGAAGCCUGGGCUCUUUCACUUCUGCUGGAGUCCCUUGUGCAGCCACUGUUGGACUUCACGGGCCAUACUAUGGCUUCCCCAGCGGGCCAUGAGCUAUGCCACCCUACCACAGAAGGAUGGUCCUCUUCUCCGCUCCACUUAAGACAGAGAGCAGCAGAAAGCACGCCGGCACUGAGCAUCCUUUAGAAGGAAUUGAUGUCAACCCCAACUUGAUGCCAUUGCCUGCACCCCAGGCACAGAUGUCGGAAGAUGAUAAAUGACCAUCGAUCUGGCCAGCAGCAGUAGGGCAAGGCACACCUACAAUUACUCUCCUUUGCUAAUGACCCCAUUAGCCACUGGAUCAAACACAGUUAGUGGGUGUGAUGAUGCUACAGUUAUUCCCUUGUCGAUACCCAUUGGCCUGAUCAAUACUGUCGGCCAAUGGAUACCCAAAUAAAUAGUAAAGACCCC